rnacentral:ncRNA from 1 species
AAAAUGUUUGAUUUUGGCUUAGUUUUUUUAUGUUAUACUUAGAGUUGUAUGAAAAUUAAAGUGGGGAUAUAAAAAUCGAUUUUAUAUGGGUUUGGAUUUGAGAGGAUAAAUUAUAUGGGAGUUUAAGUCUCAGCAUGAAGCAUUACGUUUAGUGCACUAGAGUGUGAUGUAGUAGGUAUAACAAACCUGAUAAAUAUUUGUGCCAGCAUUCGCGGUUAUACUUUAAGGUUGAAUAAAAAUUUUAAGUUGGUAGUUAGGCGUAUAAAUUUUAGUAAAUUAUAAAUAAUAGCAGGUGAAAUUGGUUAUUAUAUUUAUAUGAAAUGUAAAUUUGGGCUGAAGCUAAAAAGGUUUGAUUAAAAACUAGGAUUAGAUACCCUACUAUUAAAAAGGGAAGAGAUAAAAAGCUUAAUUAGUAAGAGAUAGAUUCUUGAAAUUUAAAAAAUUUGGCGGUAAUUUAAUCUUUUCAGAGGAACCUGUUUCUAAAUCGAUAAUCCACGAAUAAUCUUACUUACUUUUGUUUAAUAAAUUACAGUUUGUAUACCAUCAUUAGCAAAUAAUUUUAAAAGAAAAUAAUUAUUUAAUUUAAAAGAUUAUUAAAAUUAGAUCAUGGUGCAGCUUAUAAGUAAGGUGGAAUGGGUUACAAUAAAAUUUUUUUACUAUGGAUUAGUAAUUUGAAAUUGCUAUGAAGGAGGAUUUGAUUGUAUUAUAAAUUUAAUAAGAUUUAAAGAUAUAAGCUCUAAAUUAUGUACAUAUCGCCCGUCGCUUUCGCCUAUAAGCGAAAUAAGUCGUAACAUAGUAGGUGUACUGGAAAGUGCACCUAGAAUGGU